CAACUACAACAAAAACAUUCGACUCCAAAACCAGACGGGACGGGUGAGAGAGCUUUGAGCGAAAAGGUAGAAGCAACAAUGAAAAUCGAUUGUUCUCCUGGCCGUCCUGUUCACGGGGAUCCUCGCCCAGCCAUCGGGCUAUUUCCCCAAGUGCUGCGACAACUGCAGGUCCUUCUCGGGGAUCGACGUCGGUGACGACGCCCAUCCUGAGUGCCCCAAGGGCUGCUUGCAGUGCCGCGUGGUGCAGACGAGCCCUGCCAAGACGUUCAGGUGCGCCGACUACCGCGGAGACUCCGACGACACGUGCGGCCCGCCCUGCAAGAAAAACUGAUGGGUUAAGCUCAGAUCACGAAAUGUUUCGCCCAAAAUAAAAGCUCAGACGAGAUGAGCACGGUCACUGUGUUUGUGUGUACAUUUGCCCUGCGUUGUACCAUCGCCAUGGUUUCAUCAUCACCAUUGUUGUUGUUUUGUGUUCAAGAGUAAGUUGUUGUUGAUCGCCUAUCAGGUGCCUGUUGUAUCCUCCAUGAAAUAAACACCUGACUAAAGUGUGUCUCUGCCUAAUCAGAUGCAAAGAGUAACCUA